GACGAACGCUGGCGGCGUGCUUAACACAUGCAAGUCGAACGGAAAGGCCCUGCUUUUGUGGGGUGCUCGAGUGGCGAACGGGUGAGUAACACGUGAGUAACCUGCCCUUGACUUUGGGAUAACUUCAGGAAACUGGGGCUAAUACCGGAUAGGAGCUCCUGCUGCAUGGUGGGGGUUGGAAAGUUUCGGCGGUUGGGGAUGGACUCGCGGCUUAUCAGCUUGUUGGUGGGGUAGUGGCUUACCAAGGCUUUGACGGGUAGCCGGCCUGAGAGGGUGACCGGCCACAUUGGGACUGAGAUACGGCCCAGACUCCUACGGGAGGCAGCAGUGGGGAAUAUUGCACAAUGGGCGGAAGCCUGAUGCAGCAACGCCGCGUGCGGGAUGACGGCCUUCGGGUUGUAAACAGCUUUCGCCUGUGACGAAGCGUGGGUGACGGUAAUGGGUAAAGAAGCACCGGCUAACUACGUG
rnacentral:rRNA from 1 species